UCUGGUCUUGUGGGGUGAUUUUGUUUGUGUUGAUGGCUGGUUACUUGCCAUUCCAUGACCAGAAUAUCAUGGUCAUGUACAAGAAGAUCUAUAAGGGUGAGUUCCGGUGUCCUAGAUGGUUCUCUCCGGAGCUCAUUAGACUUCUCUGGAGGCUUCUUGAUACAAACCCUGAAACUCGAAUUACGAUGCCUGAGGUAAUGGAGAAUAAGUGGUUCAAAAAGGGG
rnacentral:misc_RNA from 1 species